AUUGAACGCUGGCGGCAUGCUUUACACAUGCAAGUCGAACGGUAACAGGCCUUCGGGUGCUGACGAGUGGCGAACGAGUGAGUAAUGCAUCGGAACGUACCCAGAGGUGGGGGAUAACGCAGCGAAAGCUGUGCUAAUACCGCAUGUGAUCUGAGGAUGAAAGCGGGGGACCGAGCAGCAAUGUUUGGCCUCGCGCCUUUGGAGCGGCCGAUGUCGGAUUAGCUAGUUGGUGGGGUAAAGGCCUACCAAGGCGACGAUCCGUAGCUGGUCUGAGAGGACGACCAGCCACACUGGGACUGAGACACGGCCCAGACUCCUACGGGAGGCAGCAGUGGGGAAUUUUGGACAAUGGGCGCAAGCCUGAUCCAGCAAUGCCGCGUGCGGGAAGAAGGCCUUCGGGUUGUAAACCGCUUUUGGCAGGAACGAAACGGUGUCCGCUAAUACCGGGCGCUAAUGACGGUACCUGCAGAAUAAGCACCGGCUAACUACGUG
rnacentral:rRNA from 1 species